rnacentral:rRNA from 1 species
CCUACGGGAGGCAGCAGUGGGGGAUAUUGCACAAUGGGGGGAACCCUGAUGCAGCGACGCCGCGUGGGUGAAGAAGCGCCUCGGCGCGUAAAGCCCUGUCAGCAGGGAAGAAAAUGACGGUACCUGAAGAAGAAGCCCCGGCUAACUACGUGCCAGCAGCCGCGGUAAUACGUAGGGGGCAAGCGUUAUCCGGAUUUACUGGGGGUAAAGGGGGCGCAGCCGGCGGUGCAAGCCAGGAGUGAAAGCCCGGGGCCCAACCCCGGGACUGCUCUUGGAACUGCGUGGCUGGAGUGCAGGAGGGGCAGGCGGAAUUCCUGGGGUAGCGGUGACAUGCGUAGAGAUCAGGAGGAACACCGGUGGAGAAGGCGGCCGGCUGGACUGCAACUGACGUUGAGGCCCGAAAGCGUGGGGAGCAAACAGGAUUAGAUACCCUGGUAGUC